UAACUCGUCAGUCACCGCCUCUCUUCAUCAUCUAAUCUAGAUCUAUAUUUUUAUCCUUCACUAUCUUCUCUGAAUCUAGAUCUAUAUCGAUCUUUCAUCAUUUUCUAGUUGGCUACGAUCUAUAUCGUUUAAAAAAAAUUCACCCCCAUUUUCAAAAUCACCUUCUAAUGCGAUGAUUGUUCUGUGAUUACAUCUUUAGUGACACUUCUAAUAUUAUUCAUUGCGAUUUAGGGCCAAUUAAUUAGAAAUCUCUCAAAUUUUUUUCGGAUUUGUAUGAAGUCUUCAUUUAUUCUUGCAAAACACACAGCACCACGUAUUAGAAAUAAUGAAGAAAAUGCUCCACAACAACUUUAUCUUUCUCCACCACAAUCGCAUAUGAUAUUCGGCCACACUGAUUCAUGAAUAGACGUGGGCAGUAGUAGCUGUGUGUGGAAGGUUGAAAGAGCAGGUGAUGCUGAUCCAAUCCCCUAUACGAAGUGGCUUAUCAGUCUUGGAAGAUGAUAUAUACGAAGUGGAGAAUUCAAAAGACGUCCUUCUUUACUCGAUCGAAUUCAUCUAUCUAUCUAUAUUAUAAAGGCUGUUGCCAAAAUACCAUUGAAAUGACUACUUUACCCAGCCGUAUCUACCGUAUUAUCAAAUCUGCCACUGAGUUAUACUUCUUCCCAUACGUUUAUCACAUCCAAGCCGCUCAUUCCAUCUGUAUACUCCCACGUGUUGGUCAUCCCUCUCUCGUAUUUUGGGGCUUCUCAGCUGUGGUUGUCUAUGCUUUAAUUGAUGGAACCCGGUGAUGGGUCUGAUUUAAAUGCUGGUGAUGGGGUAAAGUUUCCGCCCCUUCUUGCUUCUUGCCGCUUUGAUUGAGCUUCGAUAUGCGCUGCUCAUUCAUCCUGGACGAGAUGUCGCCUUAAAUCAUGUAAUACAUCCGAACUUUUCGAAACUCAUUCCGAUUGUUACAGUUAAAUCUUCUUCUCCCCCUUUAAUUCUUGCCUGCUUUUUAGUCUAAUCCGAAACGACUCCAUUGAUUGUAUCAGUUCUUUGUUUUUGUAGUGUUUCAGAUGUAGUUUUUACAUAAGACUCUUAUUGUUGUUUCACUAUAUUUGUCGAUGGAGUUGAUUGUUGCAAAUCUUCGUUGUCCUCAUGGUUAUGUAUUUCCCACAUUCUUAUCUUUUUUAAUAAUGAUCUUAUCUUCUUCGAUUUGUAAUUGUUGGAUAUCAUGCAUAUAUCUGUAACAUGUUGGUAAUAGUGGAAGGAGUACAGGACACUGCUGCAUUAAAUAGGUCUAUAUCAAUUGUAAUUCACUUUUUUAAACUGUGUUAGUUGGAUAAUGCACUCUCACAUCCAGGAAUGGUAUGCGGUCCCGUUCUGGAUUUUUGAGUUUGGAUAUUCUUUAUUUUCAAGGAACUGGCAGUAAGUAAACUUGACUUAACUAUUAGUUUAUAAUCGUUUGCCUCAAGUUGUAUAUAUGUAUUUGUCUCUCUUUAAACUCGAGAAAUGUUUUACUUUGCAUUUGGAAAAGAAUACUUGCUUUAUGUAACUACAAGGUUGGGAAAAACUACUUAAGCACAGAAUGAAAGCAAGAACUAAUCACAUUUUUGGAGUUUCUCGAGAGGAUUCGGAUCAAUGACAGUACUUCUUCAGUCUCUACUUUCAAGCAUGCAUAUCUUCUGAUGUGUAUAAGUUGUUGUAUAGAAUUCUUGCAUUACAUGUAAGUUAGGUACUUAAGUCUGCAGUCUCACUUUUCUUAUUAUAAUCAUUAAUGCAGAUACCUGGGUUACAGAAGGACAUUGUUGUCCCAUACUACUGUUAUACUGGUGGUGGGAGCUUAGGCCGAUUAAUGCUUGGUUCAGUCCUGCUGGGAAGUUGACACCAUUGCACCAUGAUCCACAUCAUAAUAUACUGGCUCAGGUGAGGAUGGAAUCGUCUGAAAAGUUUUGUAAUUUUCUGUGACCCAUCUCUGUUUUUGAUACCUCUACCUGUUAUAAUUUUGUAUGAGAUUUUGUUGUCUAUUUGUUGUUUGCUCCUGUAAUUAGUCUUCUUUGCCUGUAUUUUUAAUUAGGUAAAGAUGAGUUUGCUUUUGGCCAUGUUAAUUCUGACCACAUGACCACCCAUGAAGUUGUUCUGGAUUAUUUCAUCUAUUAAUUUUAUUCAUUUAAUAGAAUUAUUAAUUUUGUGCUGCCUCUUAUAAUGAAUUGAUUCACCUUACAACUUGAAAAUAUGGUGAUGUGUUAAAAAAAAAAAAAGGUUGUCUGUGAGUGUGUAGACAUGUUUGAUUUAUUCAUUUUUGUAAUUCAUUGACUGUUUCCCACCUUAUUAGUCUAAUCUGAAAUGCCUCCUUUCGUUGUGAAAAAGCUUUGUUUCUUUGUAGAGAUUUGAGCAUUUAACAGGCUAUUUGGACAAAUACCAGAUUCAAUUCAGCCGUGGGAGUCCAGUCUAAACCGUUUGCUGAGAUCUGUAGGAAUAUUGCAAUGCAAUUCUAUAAUGAAAACAUGUUAAAUUUUAGUGCCGGGAAGAAAAUUUGAGACAUGUUCUUUUCAGGUUCUGCGGCUUUGGAGAUGAAAAAGAAUAGUUUGCAUACUGAAUAUUUGCCAAUCCAGAUGCAUCUAUUCUUGAACCUAACGAGGAUGGCUUAUGGAGAGUGGACCCCGAAUAGUAGGAAUUCUUAUAAUAAAUAUGAUGCUAUACUGAGCUACAUUACACAGCAUGGGGGAGAUGUGAAUGCUGCAGAUCAUACUGGACAAACAGCAUUACACUGGAGUGCGGUGCGGGGAGCUGUUCAGGUUGCAGAGAUCUUGCUCCAAGAGGGUGCCAGUGUUGGUGCUCCUGAUAUGUAUGGAUAUCACACCUUGAAAGAAAAGCUUUCAGCAGAGACUCAUUGCCAAUAUUUCUGAAAGAUGAUGGACACAGCUGGAGUUGAUAUGUUGCCGUUACAUUGUUAUAAUUGUUGACAUCUCCGGUUUCUUUAAUUUCUGGAUGGCUGCUCAAGUUGGCAAAGCCCGUAAAAAGGAUUUAUUUUAUCUGUAUACAUCUCUUUCAGGUUUUUUUUCUAUCAUUUCAGUCGAUAAUGUGCAUAUGAUAUUGUGAAUAAAAUUUGCAGGUAUAAGGUUGCUCUACCUGCAAUGUAUGCUUUAGAAUCAGAAAAUGAAAAUGCUAAUCUCUUUAACUGUGUUCAGGUCACUGACUGUGUUAAAUGGUGAAGAGAGGUCACCAGAACUCCAUGGAGUGGAUGCCUUUGUUCUUGAUAUUCAUGACGUUGGGAGGGAUUAAGUACCCUGUCAUCUCCUCAGUUCUUGGUAUUGUUUAUAUUGUUAGUUUUUAUUUCUAUUUAAAAGGAUAUUCCACUGACGAUCCUAAGAAGCCUCUAUCUGUCGGGUAAAUCUGAAUGAUUUCCACCUGUAUAAUAAGAAGAUAUAUUCUUUGAUUUGGUUAUUUAAAUAUAUGUUUUGAAAUAUAUAUACCUGCAACAAUUAUUUACCUAACAUGCUAAAUUAUACAGGUUCGAUAAUGUUAGUGUUAGGAAUCUAUGAACCUUUGACAUGUGUUAUAUCUAUCUACUUUACGUAUCCUGUUGCCUCUUUUUGUAUAAGAAGUCCAUGCCAAGUUUAAUGUGAUCACUACUUUUUGGGGAACAACAUUUUUUUUUGUGUUCAAUUUUUGUGUUAUCAUAGGUUCACCUUGAGUGAAAAGAUUUUAACUAAUGAUGUAGAUUUUCUUCAGAUUGCAGAGUGAACCUCAUUUACAGGCCUUUACUUCAACAACAUGAAGUAGAAGAAACAUAAGUGCCAGACAAACAAGAACGUGUAUCAAGGCUUUUAUGUUUCUUGAUUAAAAUAACUAUUUUGUUUCAUUUUUGAAAUUAUUUUGAUAUGUAUAAAUUGAUACAAAACUUUGUUACAACGUUAAUUUAUUUUUAACUUUUAAACUCA